rnacentral:rRNA from 1 species
UACGUAGGGGGCAAGCGUUGUCCGGAUUUAUUGGGCGUAAAGAGCGUGUAGGCGGCUAGGUAGGUCCGUUGUGAAAACUCGAGGCUCAACCUCGAGACGUCGAUGGAAACCAUCUAGCUAGAGUCCGGAAGAGGAGAGUGGAAUUCCUGGUGUAGCGGUGAAAUGCGCAGAUAUCAGGAAGAACACCAAUGGCGAAGGCAGUUCUCUGGGACGGUACUGACGCUGAGACGCGAAAGCGUGGGGAGCGAACAGG